UCACAGUGGAUCAUGGCCAGAUAUGAAGAGGAAAUGGAUCUCAAUUUUGGACAAAAGAAUACAAAAAGAGCCAUUGCAGAGUGCCACAGAAGCAUAAAGCUAAACUGCAUAGUGCCAAUUGAGCAAAAAGUGAAAGAGACCAACAAAUCCUGAUGGGAUUCAUGAAAAUUUUGAGCCAAGACAAGAGGACUUGAACUUUUUUGGGGUUUGAGGUUGUGGCUGUUUAACAUGUGUUAAAGGCAAGUCUUCCUUGUCCCACAUUCUAACAAGUAUCUCAAAUUUGGCUCCUACCUGGCUCCUAUAAUCUAGUCCCUUUUCUGUCUUUUAUGGUGUGGCAAACUUNNNNNNNNNGCUACUGAUGGGGUAAAUGCAUAAUGCUUUAAAUCAUUUUAAUUGGGCCCUGAUUCAAGGAUCUGUUAUGGAUUUAUUUUUCCUUUACUUAGAAUUUUUACACAUAAGACUUUUGAAUAGUCUAUAUUUCAUCCAGAACUUAUUUUUUUUUUAAUUUGGAUUUUUUAAGAUAUUUUUUACUUCUCUUGCCAAUUGAUUCAUAUACCUCAUAACUCAGCCAUACAUCCCUAAGUGAUCCCUGUGUUUUUCAACACCCUCUUCGGGGGGGGGGGGAUGUAUUAUUAUUUUAAAUUGCAAAUUUAAAUUCUUUUUGAGAGUAAUUCUAGGUUGAGACAUGCUACCUCUCCAAUACAGAAAAUGAACUCUUCUUAGAAGGCACCAUGAAGAUGCCUCCACAGACCACAACUUACAUCAAUAAGAUUCAGAAUGAACUUUGGGUGUGAUUGAUUGAACUGAAGGUUGAUUGAACAUUUAAUUUGAAUAUAUACUCUUAUGCUGAAGUGGACUGUCCCCUAACUGGAUUUUUGUCAAUGCACCUAGCAAUUAUUGGAUUUGUUCUCUUUUCCUCUUAUCCUCAAAUUAUUGCAAUUUCAAAGUUGGUAUGUUUACAAGACCCACUAGAGAGACUAGUCUUCUUUGGGUCUCAGGGAGGAAUGUAUGACUGAAAAUCUGUUACCCAAAAAAGAACUACAUAUUCCAAGAGCCCACUGACUUCCUAUCAUUACGUACUUCCUGUAGACAGAGGAUAAAGGGUGUGGGCUUUGGAGGCUCCUCUCUCUGAUGUAGAAUCAGCAUUGAUGGUGGUGAAUGGAGUUAACUAAAAAAUGGCUAACCAGCCAUGGGCACAUGGUCUUUAUUUUGUAUCUUCUUUAUUCCUUGAUUUCUAAUGAUCAUUAAUAAAUCUCUUAAAAUAUAAUAUUAUUAUUGAGAU
rnacentral:lncRNA from 1 species